CCAAUAGCGUAUAUUAAAGUUGUUGCAGUUAAAAAGCUCGUAGUUGAACUUCGGGGUUUACCCAUUGGUCAGGCUUAAUUGUCUGCACUGGUGAGAUAAAUCUCUACCUUCUGAGGAACUUUCAUGCCAUUUAUUUGGUGUGAUGGGAAAUCAGGACUGUUACUUUGAAAAAAUUAGAGUGUUUAAAGCAGGCUAACGUCUGAAUACAUUAGCAUGGAAUAAUGAAAUAGGACGGACUGAUUCUAUUUCGUUGGUUUCUAGGAUCACCGUAAUGAUUAAUAGGGAUAGUUGGGGGCAUUAGUAUUCAAUUGUCAGAGGUGAAAUUCUUGGAUUUAUUGAAGACUAACUACUGCGAAAGCAUUUGCCAAGGAUGUUUUCAUUAAUCAAGAACGAAAGUUAGGGGAUCGAAGACGAUCAGAUACCGUCGUAGUCUUAACCAUAAACUAUGCCGACUAGGGAUCGGAUGAUGUUAAUUUUUUAAUGACUCAUUCGGCGCCUUACG
rnacentral:rRNA from 1 species